rnacentral:rRNA from 1 species
CCUACGGGGCGCAGCAGUGGGGAAUAUUGCACAAUGGGGGGAACCCUGAUGCAGCAACGCCGCGUGAAGGAAGAAGGCUUUCGGGUUGUAAACUUCUAUCAAUAGGGACGAAAAGAAUGACGGUACCUAAAUAAGAAGCCCCGGCUAACUACGUGCCAGCAGCCGCGGUCAUACGUAGGAUCCGAGCAUUAUCCGGAGUGACUGGGUGUAAAGAGUUGCGUAGGUGGCAUAAUAAGUAGCUAGUGAAAUCUGGUGGCUCAACAAUUCAGACUAUUAGCUAAACUGU